CUAGCGUUUAAGAGCAGUUGGAGGCCACGGAAGGAGUGUUGUAUGAAUUUGAAGCUUGUUUGGAGGUUUAUUAAAACUUCUUAUGGCUGCAGGGGUAGUAUUGAGUAGCUUGGAUGAAAAGGUGCCCAGAGGUGCCCAGAGUAAACUGCCUGCUCCUCAGUCCCAGUUGAGAAUAUAUGCAUAUUAUUAUUAGUAUUGGAUAUAAAACUCUCUGAAGUUUCUAAAACUGUUUGAAUGAUGUCUGUGAGUAUAACAGAACUCAUAUGGCAGGCAAAAACCUGAGAAGAAAUCCAAACAGGAAGUGGGAAAUCUGAGGUUGGUCGAUUUUCUCCCUGCCCCUAUUGAAUACACAGUGGGAUAUUGGUUAUGUUGCACUUCCUAACUGUCUUUAGAAACAUGUUUGAGGAUUCUACUGUGAAGUGGGACCGAAUGAGAGAGGAAUGAGUCAGAGGUCUGCCAGCACUCACGCGCUGGUCAUGUGCAUUUCACAUGAGAGGUAGCUGCGUUCCUUUGCUUUUCUGAAGACAAAGGAAUUCUCCGGUUGGAAUAUUAUUGAAGUUUCAUGUUAAAAACAUCCUAAAGAUUGAUUCCAUACAUCGUUUGACAUGUUUCUACGGACAGUAACGGAACUUUUUGACAUUUCGUCUGCAACUAGGGAACGCGCUUCAUGACUUUGGAUUUGUUUACCAAAUGUGCUAACAAAAGUAGCUCUUUGGACAUAUAUGAUGGACAUUCUCAAACAAAUCAAACAUCUAAUGUGGAACUGGGAUUCCUCGGAGUGCAUUCUGAUGAAGAUCAUUAAAGGUAAGUGAAUAUUUAUAAUGUUAUUUCUGGUUUCUGUUGAGUCCAUCAUGGCAGAUAUCUCUAUUUGUUUUCUGAUCGCUGUUCUCAGAUUAUUGCAUGGUUUUCUUUUUCCGUAAAGCUUUUUUGAAAUCUGACACAGCGGUUGCAUUAAGGAGAAGUGUAUCUAUAUUUCCAUGUCUAACAAUUGUAUUUUCAUCGACAUUUAUAAUGAGUAUUUCUGUAAAAUGAUGUGGCUCUCUGCAAAAUCUCUGCAUGUUUUAGAACUACUGAAGUUUUAAAACAGUGUCCAAAGAAAGGCCAGAUGUAUACCGAAUGGUGUCGUCUGUGUAGAGGUGGAUCAGAGAAUCACCAACAGUUAGAGCGACAUCAUUGAUAUAUACAGAGAAAAGAAUGGGCCUGAGAAUUGAACCCUGUGGCACCCCAUAGAGACUGCCAGGGGUCCGCACAACAGGCCCUCCGAUUUGACACUGCACUUUAUCUGAGAAGUAGUUAGUGAACCAGGCGAGGCAGUCAUUAGAGAAAUCAAGGCUGUUGAGUCUACCGAUAAGAAUACGGUGAUUGACAGAGUCGAAAGCCUUGGCCAAGUUGAUGAAGACGGCUGCGCAGUACUGUCUUUUAUCAUUGUUAGUUAUGAUAUCGUUUAGGACCUUGAGUGUGGCUGAGGUGCACCCGUGACCAGCUCGGAAACCGGAUUGCAUGGCCUCCUCCUCAGUGUCCUCUUCCUCAGUGUCCUCAUUCUCUUCCUUUUGUCCUCUUCUGUCCUCUUCUUCCUUUUCUUCUCCCUCCUCUUCCUCACAAUCUAUCACCUUUUCCUCAUAAUCAUCACAUUUGCCUCAUAAUCCAUCACCUUUUUCUCAUAAUCCAUCACCACUUUCUCAUAAUACCUCAAACAGUGAUGCGGUUUGGAUCCCGGACACAGUUAUUUUCCAGCCUACUGUGUACCAUGCCACAGUUAGGAGGAACCCAGGCAGUGUUGUAACCUGGGUCAUGCCAGCUCUUCUGCAGACCACCUUUGAGAGACAUUUUAAGUUAGCCUCAUUUAAAAAAAUGUGUACCCCCAAAUAUGUGACGUUUUUCUUGAUUCAUCAGGGAUCCUUGUACACCCUUUUUUGUUCAGGUAGAACUAUUUUGGUUUCCAUGUAGAACCCUUUCCACAGAGGGUUCUACAUGGAACCCAAAAGGGUUCUACCUGGAACCAAAAUGGGUUCUACCUGGAACCAAAAAGGGUUCUCCUAUGGGGAUAGCAGAAUAACCCUUUUGUAAGCCUUUUUUCUGAGAGUAAGUAAGUAGAUCUAAUUGAAAUAGCAAUGGUUCUAACAUACGUUUGUAAAGCAAACCACAUUUUAUUUUAACUUGCCUUUUUUUUCCAGGUGCAACACCCAUGUGUCCUGAUUCAACAGACCCUUAAUUGAUGAUCAAUGAAUUAAUGUCCCACUUCAAUAUGAAGGGACAGAGGAGUGAACAUGCCUUUGCUACCACUCGUGUGUUCUCCAUUGUAAUUGUUUUUGCAAGCCCUCUUGAAAGUCCAAAAUAUGCCCCUGACUGCCAGGGUGGAGGAGGAGUUACUCUUUUUUGAAGACAUCUCUAAGCUAUAACUGACACAAACUUCUUCAACUAGUACCAUGGAAAUUCUUCGGAAAUAUUUUUAGCCACAACGUCCACAAAGUUUCUUCAGGAAUGUCCUUUUCUAGUUUUCUUUUAAAAUCUCAAAUUGGUAAAGUUGUAAUUUACUGAUUCUCUUCACUGCAGAUCUGACCCAUCGCACCACUUUUAUUAAUCAACAACCUGCCUUUAUAUACUCUGUGUCCCAGUCUUUCUAUUCAUGUCAUGUCUGUGGGUGAAUUAUGGAACAAUUACUGUACGCAGAUAUGCAAAAAAUUGUGAUGUAGAAUUGUUUUAGCUAUUGCUUGAUCUUUACUGAACAAAAAUAUAAAAGCAACAUGUAAAGUGUUGAUCCCAUGUUUCAUGAGCUGAAAAAGAAGAUCCCAGAAAUGUUCAUUACAUUUUUCUCAAAUUUUGUGUACAAAUUAGUUAACAUCCCCGUUAGUGAGCAUUUCUCUGUUGUCAAGAUAAUCCAUCCACCUGACAGGUGUGGCAUAUCAAGAAGCUGAUUAAGCAUGAUCAUUACACAGGUCCGUCCACCUUGUUCUGGGGAAAAUAAAUGGCCACUCUAAAAUGUGCAAUUUUGUCACACAACACAAUGCCACAGAUGUCUUGCAGAGUUAAUUUCUCUACCAUAAUUUCGCUACCAACGUCUUUAUAGAGAAUUUACCGGUCACGUUCUGACCUUAGUUCUUUUGUUAUGUCUUUGUUUUAGGUUGGUCAGGGCGUGAGUUGGGGUGGGUUGUCUAUGAUCGUUUUUCUACGUUGUGUUUUACGUUUGGCCUGGUAUGGUUCUCAAUCAGAGGCAGGUGUCAUUAGUUGUCUCUGAUUGAGAAUCAUACUUAGUCAGCCUUUUCCCACCUGUGUUUCGUGGGUGAUUGUUUUCUGUUUUGUGUAUUCACCGUACAGGACUGUUUCGUUUAGUUCGUUCUUGUUUUUUUGUUUUUGUGUUCAUGAUAAUAAAUUAUCAAUAUGGACACUU